rnacentral:lncRNA from 1 species
CUGAGGAUCUAAUUAGUCAUCCCUCUAGAGGUUCCCUAAGAGUCUCCCUCUGCUUCUCGAAUGACUUCGGCUCUGUAGGAGUUUUGUAAGUUAGCCCCAUCUCAGAGUCGUUGAGGUCUUCUUGAGAGUCUGGUAAGUUAGCCCUCGUGCUAGUUGACCAUCAUUAUGGUUCAAGAUCUCAAGUAGGAAGAGGAGACAACUCUUGGGAGACUCGGGCGCCCAUCACAAACUGAUGGCC